rnacentral:rRNA from 1 species
UACGUAGGGGGCAAGCGUUGUCCGGAAUCAUUGGGCGUAAAGCGCGUGUAGGCGGUUCGGUAAGUCUGCUGUGAAAGUCCAGGGCUCAACCCUGGGAUGCCGGUGGAUACUGUCGGACUAGAGUACGGAAGAGGCGAGUGGAAUUCCCGGUGUAGCGGUGAAAUGCGCAGAUAUCGGGAGGAACACCAAUUGCGAAGGCAGCUCGCUGGACGUCGACUGACGCUGAGACGCGAAAGCGUGGGGAGCAACAGGA